GAUCCGUUGUCGAAUAUUAAAUUCUUAAAAGAGAUGGUGUAGCUUUCCAAAGAUGAAAAUCAAGCAACUAGCUUGGGCUUCUCUCCUUAUUGGCUAUUCUCAUAGAUAUCAUUCCUGGUUAUCAGAUCAGACUUCCCCACCGACAAGGAGCUGUCGAGCAGGAGAUGAAUGUUUAGAAGGAAGUAAUAAAAAUGUGAUUCUUUGAAUUCACAUUGUUGACCUCUUAUAAGGUUUACCUUCAAGAGUCUAAUAGCCUUACUGAAGCAA